GAAGGUAGCAUAAUCACUUGUUCUUUAAAUGAGGACCAGUAUCAAUGGCAUCACGAGGAUCUUACUGUCUCCCCCCUCAAAUCAGUGAAACUGAUCUCCCCGUGAAGAAGCGGGGAUAUUUUUAUAAGACGAGAAGACCCCAUGGAGCUUUAAACCCGAUAACACCCGCCCACUUUAUGUCCCCACAUCCCUCGGUCCCUGUUUACUCGGUUUUAGGUUGGGGUGACCACGGAGCACAAAACAACCUCCAUGAAAGAAGGGGAAACAGCCCUCAUCAGAGAACAACACUUCCAAGAAGUAACAAAUUAAUUUCCAAUGACCCGAUAUGCGAUCAACGAACCAAGUUACCCUGGGGAUAACAGCGCAAUCUUCCUCAAGAGCUCCUAUCGACAGGUGGGUUUACGACCUCGAUGUUGGAUCAGGGCACCCCAGUGGUGCAGCAGCUACUAACGGUUCGUUUGUUCAACGAUUAAAGCCCU
rnacentral:rRNA from 1 species